ACGGCGGCACGAGUUUUUAUCGUUUCCUCGUCUUGGACCCGGCCGGAGCCGAACGAUGUCAGGCCGGAUCACGCCGU
rnacentral:ncRNA from 1 species